GGAAUAUAAGAACCCGUCUCUUAACUUUUAACUAAAAAAAGCUAAGAACGGGUUCUUAAAUAAGAGUUUUAAGAGCCGGUUCUUAACUUUUUUAGUUAAAAGUUAAGAGACGGGUUCUUAUAUUCC
rnacentral:pre_miRNA from 1 species